rnacentral:rRNA from 1 species
AUACGUAGGGGGCUAGCGUUAUCCGGAAUUACUGGGCGUAAAGGGUGCGUAGGUGGUUUCUUAAGUCAGAAGUGAAAGGCUACGGCUCAACCGUAGUAAGCUUUUGAAACUAAGAGACUUGAGUGCAGGAGAGGAGAGUAGAAUUCCUAGUGUAGCGGUUAAAUGCGUAGAUAUUAGGAGGAAUACCAGUUGCGAAGGCGGCUCUCUGGACUGCAACUGACACUGAGGCACGAAAGCGUGGGGAGCAAACAGGAUUAGAUACCCUGGUAGUCCACGCCGUAAACGAUGAGUACUAGCUGUCGGGGGUUACCCCCCUCGGUGGCGCAGCUAACGCAUUAAGUACUCCGCCUGGGAAGUACGCUCGCAAGAGUGAAACUCAAAUGAAUUGACGGGG